rnacentral:rRNA from 1 species
AGAGCGAACGCUGGCGGCAUGCUUAACACAUGCAAGUCGCACGGGCAGGGGCAACUCUGUCAGUGGCGGACGGGUGAGUAACGCGUAGGUAUCUAUCCUUGGGUGGGGGACAACUGUGGGAAACUACAGCUAAUACCGCAUGAUAACUGAGGUUUAAAGGCGCCCAGGGUAACUUGGGUGGUCGCCUGGGGAGGAGCCUGCGUACGAUUAGCUAGUUGGUGGGGUAAAGGCCUACCAAGGCGACGAUCGUUAGCUGGUCUGAGAGGAUGAUCAGCCACAUUGGGACUGAGACACGGCCCAAACUCCUACGGGAGGCAGCAGUGGGGGAAUAUUGGACAAUGGGCGCAAGCCUGAUCCAGCAAUGCCGCGUGUGUGAAGAAGGUCUUCGGAUUGUAAAGCACUUUCGACGGGGACGAUGAUGACGGUACCCGUAGAAGAGCCCGGCUAACUUCGUGCCAGCAGCCGCGGUAA